CCAUAUUGGGGCAUGCUCAACAUGCAACUACAGAAAUACAAAGCCAAGAAUUCUAUCAAAUUGUGGACAAAGCUUUAGGAAUAAUCUUAAUUCUAUACUAAAAAUGGCCAAAUCGUGGAGGUAAAGCCUGAUCUCUAUCCUAGAACUGACAUGAGGUACUUAUUAGGAGGGCUAGCUUGAUACUUUAAAGGCUUUUGAAAUUUGUUGAUGGUACCCAUAGCUCACUUACAACAACUGAGAAGCCUCUACUCCAUUCUCUCCUAGGGUUCAUUGACAGUAAAGCAUCAUUACUGUUGUCCCUGACAGCAUGGAGGUGGGCUGGAACUCUCAGCCAUACAGUUGAGGUCUCUGCACAGGAAAUCAUAGGUUCAUAGAGUAGCAAAGGUCUAAACAGAUAGACUAUUUCUUAAAGAUAUGGCCAUAUCUUUCACUAAUACCAACGUUUGGCAACCUUUGAGGAUUUAUAACUGACUUCAGGACCUCCAUCAGCCCUUCUUUAGGGAUUAUUAAUUUUUAAGAGAUGUGCAAAUUCAUGGUUAUUUUCCUUAGUUAUUUUUCUUUCCUCCUAGGGGCCAGUAGGAAACAGUGUGAAAGCCUACUUAAUGAAACAUUCUUGCAAAGGAAAAAAAAAAUUAAACCUGAAUUUAAUCAAGCCUUUAUAUCUUUCAAUUUAUAGCAUAUAUCAGAGACAGAGGAACAUAACCUAAGGAAGUAAUCAGCCAAAUCCAUUCAUCAGGAAACAUGAUCCAUUUUCUCUAGCAAGUCAAUGGCACAACAACAACAAAAAGGCAGCAAGGAUCUUUGUCUGAUAUUCUGAACCCCAGAGUCAUAUGAGAAGAAGAAAAAUGAAUGGAUGAAGGAAUAAGUCUCUUCUUCAACUCAGAUCACAUCAUCAUUCUCUACUCUGUGCUGUGGUCCAGAAGCUGACCUCUAUGGACUAUUUUAACCAGUUUCCCACCACUUUGGCGUCUGUCUGGGCUUCCUGAUGUGAAAUAGGAAGAACAUUCCUUUCUUCAUUUGACAGCUGAAGGAAAUGAAUUAUAGAAUGAAAGAAUUCAGGUGGAAAGAAAAGGAAGUUAACCAAGGAGACUGGGAUUCUGCAGAAGAGGAGUUUAUAGAAACUGAAAACGAGAUUUUAGAAAAUAGUCAAUAAAUUCCAUUUUUGGAAAAUUGAGUUAAAGUAUUAAAGAUUAUUGCAACUAAGUUACAUUCUUAUACACAUUCAGACACAUAAGAAAGAGUAUUGUUGAUUAGAAUCUUUGUGUCUCUGAUUUUCUUCUUAUGCUUUUGUCUCACAAUUAAAUAAAAGGAAGAACUGGGUUUCCCUGAUACUUACCCUCUGCUGCUUGGGAUGAGCUAAUGGUCUCCUAGGAGUUGCAAAGUCUUUACUUGAGAAAACAGUCAAAAAGGUAAUUCUUGCAGCACUAGGUGCUCUAAUGAGA
rnacentral:lncRNA from 1 species